GACGAACGCUGGCGGCGUGCCUAAUACAUGCCAGUAGAACGCUGAAGGAGGAGCUUGCUUCUCUGGAUGAGUUGCGAACGGGUGAGUAACGCGUAGGUAACCUGCCUGGUAGCGGGGGAUAACUAUUGGAAACGAUAGCUAAUACCGCAUAAUAGCAGUUAUUGCAUGAUAACUGUUUGAAAGGUGCAAUUGCACCACUACCAGAUGGACCUGCGUUGUAUUAGCUAGUUGGUGGGGUAACGGCUCACCAAGGCGACGAUACAUAGCCGACCUGAGAGGGGGAUCGGCCACACUGGGACUGAGACACGGCCCAGACUCCUACGGGAGGCAGCAGGAGGGAAUCUUCGGCAAUGGACGGAAGGCUGACCGAGCAACGCCGCGUGAGUGAAGAAGGGUUUCGGAUCGUAAAGCUCUGUUGUAAGAGAAGAACGAGUGUGAGAGUGGAAAGUUCACACUGUGACGGUAUCUUACCAGAAAGGGACGGCUAACUACGUG
rnacentral:rRNA from 1 species